rnacentral:rRNA from 1 species
AUUGAACGCUGGCGGCAGGCCUAACACAUGCAAGUCGAACGAGUGGCGGACGGGUGAGUAAUGUCUGGGAAACUGCCCGAUGGAGGGGGAUAACUACUGGAAACGGUAGCUAAUACCGCAUACCAUCGGAUGUGCCCCGAUGGGAUUAGCUAGUAGGUGGGGUAACGGCUUACCUAGGCGACGAUCCCUAGCUGGUCUGCGAGGAUGACAAGCCACAAUGGACCUGAGACACGGGACAGACUUCUAAGGGAGGCAGCAGUGGGGAAAAUUGCGAAAUGGGCGCAAGCAUGAUGCAGCCAUGCAGCGUGUAUGAAGAAGGCCUUAGGGUUGUAAAGUACUUUCAGCGAGGAGGCGUUACGCGCAGAAGAAGCACCGGCUAAAUCCGUGCCAGCAGCCGCGAUAAUAC